rnacentral:rRNA from 1 species
GAUCAUGGCUCAGGAUGAACGCUGCGGCGUGCCUAACACAUGCAAGUCGAGCGAUUACUUCGGUAAAGAGCGGCGGACGGGUGAGUAACGCGUGGGUAACCUGCCUCAUACACAUGGAUAACAUACCGAAAGGUAUGCUAAUACAGGAUAAUAUAAGAGAUUCACAUGGAUUUCUUAUCAAAGCUCCGGCGGUAUGAGAUGGACCCGCGUCUGAUUAGCUAGUUGGUAAGGUAAUGGCUUACCAAGGCGACGAUCAGUAGCCGACCUGAGAGGGUGAUCGGCCACAUUGGAACUGAGACACGGUCCAAACUCCUACGGGAGGCAGCAGUGGGGAAUAUUGCACAAUGGGCGAAAGCCUGAUGCAAGCAACGCCGCGUGAGUGAUGAAGGCCUUCGGGUCGUAAAACUCUGUCCUCAAGGAAGAUAAUGACGGUACUUGAGGAGGAAGCCCCGGCUAACUACGUGCCAGCAGCUGC